rfam:Rattus norvegicus chromosome 1, whole genome shotgun sequence.
GGGGAUGUAGCUCAGUGGUAGAGCGCUUGCCUAGCAAGCACAAGGCCCUGGGUUCGGUCCCCAGCUCCG